rnacentral:piRNA from 1 species
UACGGUUAUGGGGUAGACAUGAGAG